UCUUAUGGGUGACCAAAGAAAGUGGUGUCUUGAGAUGGAAUUUACUCCUGGUGAAGAUGCUGUGAA
rnacentral:pre_miRNA from 1 species